UCCAAUAAUAAAAGCAACGCUCAUCAAACCACAGAAAGACUUGAAACAAUACAGAGCAAUGAAACUAUGGCUCCUACAAUGCUAUGAAUUGAACAUGCUCUCCUAUCUCCAUAUUACCAUUCAAAAGCACUAGUACUGAACAUUUAUCCAUUGUUUGGACUUCAUGUUUGCUAUAAAGGGGUGAUAAGUAAUGCAAUGGGUGUAAAGUUACACGAUUUGGGAAUCAGUGAAAUUGUGAAACUGGUGUUUUUCUUCACUUUUAGGACCUUGAAUGCUUUUGAGACUUUGGGAAUGCACUGAACCAAGAGGGUGUUUGUGAAAAUACAUGAAAUACAUGCUUCUUCUGAAACUGGACAAAACACUAAAAACUGAAUAUAAAAUUUCCAAUUUCAGUUUAACUUCAUAUACAGAGAAAGAUACAUACAUGUAACUUAAACGAAACUUGACAUUUAAGCUAUAUAAAAUUGGGAAAUAUAGUUAACUAGGAAGCACUAGGGAGAAAAACAAUCUAGAUGUUAAAAAAAUAUCUAGCUACCAAAUUUAAGGAACAUUUUGAUUGUCGGGUGAAAAAGUAAAAAAAAUAAAAUAAAAAUUUAAAAUAACAGAGAGAACGGGAGGAAACUGUUGGCCAGUGUAAUGUACUAGAUAAUUAACUCGUAUAGCGAGCUAAAAAUAAAGUGUACUUUUGACAUUAGGCUUGCUUCCGAUGAUCUCCAUACUAUGCAAAUAGUCGUGCUAAAGCUAAAUGUUAAUGGCUGAAAAAGCAAUAAACACGAUGCAAAACAAUAUUUUGGGGCCUUGGCCAGCGGAAAAAAAUAGUGCGCAACUCGCCAGCUAGCCACCUAGCUAGCUCAAUUGUUAAUGCUAACAUUUUGUUUAGCAUUAGCUUAAGUUGGUCAAAUUCUACCAAAUCUGCCGUGGCCAACUACACUUUACCGGAGUUAACCGUCGUGUUGGGUUAAAAACCGCCGCCGUCGGUAACACGUUUAAUGGCCGGCCGCUGCGCUAUUCGAGCGGUUUCUUACUUGGUCCUUUUGACAACUUAUCGGCUAACAUUAGCUACAGAUAGCUAGCCUCAGAUAGCAUACGUGGCUAACGAUGAGGAAGUCCACAUCAUGUAAAGUAGCUUAACCUAGCCGGUUACUCAUUCCUGUUGGACUUGUAAGCGUCUCCGAGAACACACAGGCUUCGUUUUGAGAAGGAAAAAAAAGAAUUAAAUUAGAUUAGUAACUGUAGCUAAGAAGAGUGGAGUUAAAUAGCUGGCGUUUACUCAGGUCCAUUUGUUCUUUACUAUGAGGAAGACUGAGUUACAUGGUCGAUGCUCUUUGCAUAGUGGCCAUUUAGUCCUUCGAUGAUGGCAAGAGCCUCGAACAAUGAAUGGAUUUCUAAAUUCUGUGGCGAGGUGAAAUGAAACUCAUUCACUCAAAAUGGCGACGGUUCUUCUCCGGAGGAGAAGGGGCGGGGUUAGCGGGCACUGACGUCAUUGCGGAAAAAAGGGACAGGGAGGGGCGGAGUCAAAUUAUCCACGGGUACAAGGCUGCAACUCAGUUGGAAUAGCUAGGACUGGAGGAAAAGAAGGAUUGUAGACAAAUGUGUCAUUGCCACAAGACUACUGUGCAUUCUCUUGAAUUUGUUGUAUGUUUUAUAGAAAAAAUAUUUUGAAAGGAAAUUUAGGUACUUCUAAAAAUGCCUGAUAAAUAAAUAAUAUAGUAAUUUG